CCUACGGGGGGCAGCAGUGAGGAAUAUUGGUCAAUGGACGAGAGUCUGAACCAGCCAAGUAGCGUGAAGGAUGACUGCCCUAUGGGUUGUAAACUUCUUUUAUAAAGGAAUAAAACGAGGCACGUGUGCCUUUUUGCAUGUACUUUAUGAAUAAGGAUCGGCUAACUCCGUGCCAGCAGCCGCGGUAAUACGGAGGAUCCGAGCGUUAUCCGGAUUUAUUGGGUUUAAAGGGAGCGUAGAUGGGUUGUUAAGUCAGUUGUGAAAUUUUGCGGCUCAACCGUAAAAUUGCAAUUGAUACUGGCAGUCUUGAGUACAGUUGAGGUAGGCGGAAUUCGUGGUGUAGCGGUGACAUGCUUAGAUAUCACGAAGAACCCCGAUUGCGAAGGCAGCUUACUAAACUGUGACUGACAUUGAUGCUCGAAAGUGUGGGUAUCAAACAGGAUUAGAUACCCUAGUAGUC
rnacentral:rRNA from 1 species